AGAAAUGAUAAAAGAAGAAGGAUACAGAGGAAAUGGAACAGACCUCAGAAUGAUGAGAAUUGUGGAAGAUACCAUAGAUGAGUUGAAGAGGAGAGGUCUGCAAGUAAAAUUGAUGAACAUAACGCAACUUUCAGAGUACAGGAAAGACGGUCACCCAUCAAUUUACAGGAAGCAAUGGCUGGCCUUAAGUGAAGAACAGUUAGCGAAGCCAACUAGUUAUUCGGAUUGUACACAUUGGUGUCUUCCCGGGGUUCCUGAUGUUUGGAAUGAGCUCCUGUAUGCUCACAUUUCCACAUGAUAUUACAAGAUUAAUUUUAGUCAGAUUUGACGAAAGUAUUGUAUUUUUUGAUACUUCAUUGUCUAAGAGUUUUCGGUUCUUAUGAUUGAAAUUUCAGUUUGAAGUCGAAUCCUCUACAUUAUAAAUGACAUUGUCACUUUAUAGUUCAACUCACCUGGGUGUUGGCCCUCAUUACCAAUUUUUUCGGGGAAAAGACCUCAAAUAUCACUGUAGGAAAAAAUGUCUCCAACCUAUCAAUGCAAUAUGAAACGUCAGAUCGUAUAGUAUUAUCCUUCUUUUAGCAUUUUGUAACCCUAAACAUUAUUUUAUCUCCUGUUUCAACCCUAAAAUGCCAUAUCGUCUAGCCUUUUGCAGUGAUUUUUAUACCUAAAUGCAGCACGAUAUAGCUUUUUUUUUCAAAAAUCAAAACGGUCGAUUAUCUAACAUUAAUAAGUGGUAUUUUGGGUCAUUUUUCACAACUCGGGUAUUUUGGACAUGUAGUGACAAAAAUUGUGACAUAUGGGGUCUUUUCACAACUACCACGACUCAUCUGCAAUCCUCAUCUAGAAUAGAGGAGAUGAAUAUGAAAUAGCACAUAAAAGUUCAAAAUAUAACUGAAUCAUCGCUUACCAAAAAAAAUUGAAUCGUCAUUCGCGAGAGCUCAAAGUGGCAGAACAAGUUGAUGUGAGAUGAGUUAUAAAAGGUUCUCUGUCCUGUUUUUCUUGUGUGGGCGCAGGCCACAUGCUAAAAAUUACAAGUCUGAUACAUCCAAAAAAUUCAAUCAUCACUUGCAAAAGAGUAAUGAGAGGCUACAUUUUCACCACCAGCUUAACUACUAGUAUGUACUUGAGAUAACAUAACUAGAGUGGACAGAAUUUUAAAGAGUAAAUAUAACUUAUGGCAAAACUAGUUCCUUCAACAAUCAGGCACAGUUUACAGUCCUCAGUAGCAUUCUUGAUUGCAGUAUUUGUCAUUGCUGUCAUCUAUUUCGCCUGGAAAAAUGGAGGCCUAUAUGAUACUAGUACUAGUAAAUGGAGUGCUGAUCAAAAUUACUCGUCAGAAAGCUGCAAUUUGUUUUCCGGGAAAUGGGUAUUUGACAACGAGUCCUACCCUCUAUACAGAGAAGAAGAAUGCACGUUUGUGUACGAUGAAAAUGCUUGCCAAAUGUUUGGAAGAAAGGAUUUGAAUUAUCAACACUGGAGAUGGCAGCCUCAUCGAUGUAACCUCAAAAGGUCUCUCCCACAUUGUGCUCUUAAAAGAUUUUUCAAUCAAGUUAAAAGUACAAAUGCUUAUAUUUGUUAUCUUUAUAAUCUAGGUUCAAUGCCACAGUAUUGCUAGAGAGACUGAGGAACAAAAGGAUGGUGUUUGUCGGAGAUUCAUUGAUUCGGGGCCAAUGGCUCUCGAUGGUGUGCCUAGUCAACAACUUUAUACCUCCAGCCCUCAAAUCCAUGCACUACAGCUUCAAUAACUCCUUGAUCACACUGAAAGCUCAAGUGAGUAUAUGAAAUCAUGACUACUACAAAUUUGCAUUCUCUCCAUGAAUAUUUUUUUCCCCUGAAACAUGUUGUAGGUAUAUAAGGUUUCUUACUUUCAGAUGGUAUAUAUGCAACUAGACUUUUGGUUCAGUUCCUGGUAAAUUUUUUGCUUAUUAUGAUGAAGGAAUAUAAUGUUUCGAUUGAGUUCUAUUGGUCGCCAUUGCUAGUGGAAUCAAACUCAGACGAUCCAUGGAACCAUCGCUUUCCAGACCCGAUUGUAAGAGCACAAACCAUUUACAAGCAUGCUAGGCACUGGACUGAUGCAGAUAUACUCAUCUUCGGUACCUAUCUCUGGUGGAUAGGGCCUUCAAAAUCUAUGAACACAUUGUAUGUACAACCACUCAGACUAUUCAUUCUAUCAGUUUCAUUCUAAUAAUAUGGCAUAGAUUAUAUAGAAGUUGUUAUUAAAAUGAAAUCAUCAGGUGGGGUUCAUUCGAAAGUGGGAAUGGAAUAUUCAAAAGAGUAGGGAUGUUACGCAGUUAUGAGAUGGCCUUGAAGACAUGGUCAGACUGGCUAGAAAUCCAUAUCGACCGUAACAAGUCACAGUUAUUUUUCAUGAGCAUGUCUCCAACUCAUAAAAUACAGAGGAAAUGGAACAGACCCCAGAAUGAUGAGAAUUGUGGAAGAUACCAUAGAUGAGUUGAAGAGGAGAGGUUUGCAAGUGAAAUUGAUGAACAUAACUCAACUUUCAGAGUACAGAAAAGACGGUCACCCAUCGAUUUACAGGAAGCAAUUGCGGGCUUUAACUGAGGAACAACUCGCAAAGCCAACUAGUUAUUCAGACUGUAUACAUUGGUGGCUUCCCGGGGUUCCUGAUGUUUGGAAUGAACUCCUAUAUGCUCACAUUUUCUCAUGACAUUCAAUACAAGUAAUUCUAAUCGAAUUGGACGAAAGGAUCGUGUUUGUUUGAUGUUUCAUUGUUUAGAUUAGUCUUUAAGCGGGAGUGCAUGCUUUUAUGCAUCUUAAAUUACGUGUAAAAAGUCAAAGUGACAUGUAAAAGGGGAUUAUGAUACUAUACUCCAGACUGUGAAAGAGUGAUGUGCAAUGAACGUCUUUAGACUAGUUAGAUUGUGUAGUGUUAUCUCUCUUUUAGCGUUUUGUAACCCUAAAUGCUAUUUUAUGUCGUGUUUCAACCCUAAAAUGC
rnacentral:lncRNA from 1 species